GUGCAAAAAACAUUUUGACAAUCCUACAUGAUACUCUAACUUUCCCCUCAAACAAACAUGCAUUUCCUGAUCUGAGUUGGAAAUUUCCUCUCAAGUAGUGUUUGAUGAACUGAACAAAGAGCAUUAUGCCUAACCAAAGCUGGAAGGAAUCAAAUAUCUCAGGAGACAAGACAAACUAUAAAGGCCCAUAAAAAAAGGGACUUAAAAGGCAACAGAGAUGUGACAUCUGAAAUCAGUGAUGAAUGAGCUACUGAUGAACACAUCCAGGACCUCUGGAAGCCAUUCUCAUCCAGCCCAGUAAUACUGCCAUUAUUUUGUUUCAGAGAUCAGUAAAUGUAAUCAGUGUGAUAAAGGAUUUUCAAUGUUAAAACACCUAAUUUCAAUCUUAUUGAGAAAUGAUAUGUCAUUUUAGGCAUAUCCAGAAGUGCUAUAAAGAAAGCAGGUCAUAAAAAAGAAAGGAAAAAAAUUGCAUUAAUCCAGAAAAGCAAACAGAAAAAUCUUAAUCUGAUCAAGUACCUCACCAUCUGUCAAAGUUCCUAGAUGAGCUUAGGAACUGAGCAUUUAGCAUGAGUUGAGUCUUCAGUUGUUACCCUUGCCCCAGGACUGUUAACCUACACACCUUUGCAUUUAGAAUAGAACCCUAGAUGUGAAAUUUUCAAGACAUUUACAGCAUUUCUUCUUAUGGAAGAAAAUGAGCUUUAGGUCUUCCAUAAGUCUUCUAAAGCUAAUUAAGAAAAGUUAUAUGAACUUGUAUUCCUGGAUAAAGUGAUAAAGCAGCAUUGCUAUUUUCAGUGUGACGUACUAGGCAUAGAACAGAAAAAUAUUUAAAAUGCUGCUUGGCACAACUUGGUACCAAUUAAUGCCCUUUGAACUGAAUAAAAAUAAUCUGCUGUUUCUAUUUUAAUUUCCUGUUUUCUCUUCUUAACCUACAUUCAUGCCUCUUUACUGCCACC
ensembl:lncRNA